rnacentral:rRNA from 1 species
GACGAACGCUGGCGGCGUGCCUAACACAUGCAAGUGGAGCGACGAACCAGGGCUUGCCCUGGGGCCAAGCCGCGAACGGGUGAGUAACACGUGGGUAACCUGCCCCGAUGACCGGGACAACCCGAGGAAACUCGGGCUAAUACCGGAUGUGGUGGACACACUUAAGUGUGUCCACUAAAGGAAGCUUCGGCCUCCGCAUUGGGAUGGGCCCGCGGCCCAUUAGCUAGUUGGUGGGGUAAAGGCCUACCAAGGCAACGAUGGGUAGCUGGUCUGAGAGGACGAUCAGCCACACUGGGACUGAGACACGGCCCAGACUCCUACGGGAGGCAGCAGUGGGGAAUCUUGCGCAAUGCGCGAAAGCGUGACGCAGC